AACGAACGCUGGCGGCAUGCCUAACACAUGCAAGUCGAACGAGACCUUCGGGUCUAGUGGCGCACGGGUGCGUAACGCGUGGGAACCUGCCCUUAGGUUCGGAAUAACUCCCCGAAAGGGGUGCUAAUACCGGAUAAUGUCUUCGGACCAAAGAUUUAUCGCCUUUGGAUGGGCCCGCGUUGGAUUAGCUAGUUGGUAGGGUAAAAGCCUACCAAGGCGACGAUCCAUAGCUGGUCUGAGAGGAUGAUCAGCCACACUGGGACUGAGACACGGCCCAGACUCCUACGGGAGGCAGCAGUGGGGAAUAUUGGACAAUGGGCGAAAGCCUGAUCCAGCCAUGCCGCGUGAGUGAUGAAGGCCUUAGGGUUGUAAAGCUCUUUUACCCGGGAUGAUAAUGACAGUAACGGGAGAAUAAGCUCCGGCUAACUCCGUG
rnacentral:rRNA from 1 species